UGCAUUAGUUUUGUUUGUGCAAAAAUUACUUUCAUUUAAUGUAGACAAAGUUAUCUAUUUUGUAUCUUGUAGUGUUUCCUGUUUCUUGUUUGGUCAUAAGUUCUUCCCUUAUCCAUAAGUCUGAUAGGUAAAAUUAGUUUGUGCUACCCUGAUUUGUUUAUGGUAUCAUCCUUUAUUUCUAUAUCAUUUAUCCAUCUUGACUACCUUGGUAUACAGUGUGAGAUGUUGGUCUGCUUCUGCCAUAUUAUUUUCUAGUUUUCCCAGCAGUUUUUGUCAAAUGGCAAGUUCUUCCAAAAGCUUGGGUCUUUGAAUUCAUCAAACACUAGAUUACUAUAGUCAUUAACUACAAUUAACUAUAGGCAUGUUGAAUGCUUAUUAUUUUCCAUUGAUCCAUUAUUCAUUUUCUUAGCCAGUACCAGAUUGUUCUGAUUGUAAUGAUGGGGAGUAGAACCAAAAAAAACUUUUGGGGGAAAUUGGAAUGUAGGAACAACUGUUGGAAACUGAACAAGGACUUCUGGAAGGGGAGUUCUUGAAGGUGGAUACACAGAAGGGAGUGGAAGGAGGAGCUAUUUCUUGGGGUCAUUUUCAAGACACCUGUGGAGAUGUCUGACACUGAUAAAAAUCUUAACAUCAUGGGUUCCCGUUUAAAACAUCAUUGGUUCCUGUCAACAAAACUUAAUUUCUCUAAAGACUUUCAUUCUAUGAACUAUUGAGAUACUGGACUCAAAUUGGUGAACAGUGAUUUCUCCCCUUUUUCUACCUCUUCCUUGGCUACAAGAAUACCUUGUACUUUAGUAGUUAGUUUUAUUUAGAAAGAGAUUUAGGGUGACCCACAACCUCUCUAACAUCUAUCCUUUACCCCAAUCAACAAUUAAAUCAAAUACAGAGUCAGAUAGAAAAAUCAAUCUUGUUUAUUUACAUCUAGAGAGUAAGUCUGUUGGCAGACUCCAUCUUGUUGCCAGUUUUCAAGAAGACAUGAGGGGGAAGACUUGUGAGCCCUCCAAAAUAGAGCAUAUCUGGAUUGAGGUCCCACAUACCUCUGCUUGUAGAAAAGACUUCCUCACUGCCCUUGAGGGCCUGCACAGCUCUCAAGGGGCAAGCCUUCACCAAGGGGAGAUCUCCAUUUUGUCUCCCUCAAGUAAUUCAGGGACUCCAGGAGGGUGUAGUUAGGGAAGCAAUUUUCAUCAACCCUUUCCUUCAACCCUCAUUUCUCCAUCUAAGGAUUGUGGAGAGCCACGUCUGCUCCCAAGCGGAAGUAGGAAAGAGGAGGGACAGCCAAAAGCCUUUCCAAUCAGGUUAAAUACCCCAUCUCAGUCUCGGCCCAGAUCAUCGAUGGCGAGUUUAACACCUCUGAUUGUAGACUAUCCAAGAAAAAAUGAACUACUCUACUGGUUUAAAGCCAAAUAGGAGUGAGGAUAAGAAAGGAACACAAAGCUUGAGUAAAUUUUAAAGAUACUAGAGUUAUUAAAAGGUCAACUGCCAAUCAAAACUCUCAGUAGUCAAGGGAAAAUAUUUUGGAUGUACCUGAAACAACUGAAAAAUAACAAUGAUAUACAAGACACUAUUCUUGACAAAGACUCCAAGUCUCCCAUAACCCUCUCCCUCCUUUUUACCACCUGGACUCCUCAGUAGGAGAAAAU